GACGAACGCUGGCGGCGUGCUUAACACAUGCAAGUCGAACGAAGUGGCGAACGGGUGAGUAACGCGUAAUCAACCUGCCCUUCAGAGGGGGACAACAGUUGGAAACGACUGCAAAUCCCGCAUACUGAAGGAGGGGAUUGCGUGUGAUUGGCUAGUUGGGGGGGUAACGGCCCACCAAGGCGAAGAUCAGGAGCCGGUCUGAGGAGGUGAACGGCCACAUUUGGAAGGGGAAACGGCCCAGACUCCUACGGGAGGCAGCCGUGGGGAAUCUUCCGCAAUUGACGAAAGGCUGACGGAGCAACGCCGCGGGAGUGAUGACGGCCUUCGGGUUGGAAAGCUCUGUUAAGCGGGACGCGGUACCGGAAGAGAAAGCCACGGCUAACUACGUGCCAGCAGCCGCGGUAAUUC
rnacentral:rRNA from 1 species